GUGGCGCGGGGUUUCGGUUGUAGAUUGGCUUUUCGCCUUCCCUUUGCCUCGACUCUCCGGGAAGUGUAAUCCCACAUGCGUCUCAUCCGUUCUGUGGCCCUGCGGGGGUGGGAGUCCUCUGGUCCACCCCUGCCGUGGACCCAUGCCCGCCGGAAGUUUGUGCACUGAGCACCCGAAGCCGCAGUAGCACGGCGUCCGCCUCGGCACCGGCUCCACACGACCUGGACUGGAUCGGCCGCUGCGAGGACUGCUGGUACCGCAGUGAGCCUCGCCCUGCGUCCUCCUGUCCGGGUGACCUAGCUGUCACCCUCGUGGGUAAUUGGCCCCGGGCGGCUGCAGCAGCCAAUGGGUGCCUCACCCCGAGGCGCAGGAAUUUCAACCGACUUUUCUCCCUUCCUUACUUCCAUCUUUGUAAAACUGAAGAAACUGAAUUGAGCGCUGAAAUGAAUUAGCUAAGGACCCAAGGUCCUGCUAGGUGCAGAAGCAAAGGGGAAACGUGGAGUUGGGGAUAGCGGGUUGCCGUCUCCCUGGGGUUCCGCCCUCUGCCCCGAGCUAUAUGAUUGCGUAACGGUUACUUUCUCUGUCGAGUUGUAGUUCCCAACAUUACAUGGGAUGAUGUGCUCACUUUGUGGGGCGCUGAGCUUGCCUGAGUAAAAAGGGAGGACAGGGAAAUUUCCUCCCCGAGACAGUUCCAAAUUCUCCUAAAUCUGGUAGGAUUUUAACCCAAGCUUCCGCUCAGUGAACGCUGUGGAAGGAUAUCGCCGGGCUCUCUGGUUAAGAGACUGGGACUUCUCCAUCUUACAGGUGAGGCCGCUGCGGUGUCGGCUGGCGGCCGGCAGAGGGCGCUGCGAGGGCAUGGCCGAGGAGCGCUGCGGAUCCUGGUUCGGCUUCGGUUUCUGCGGCUUCGGGCAGGCGCUGGGUUCGGGCCGCGGACGGCAGGUGCACAGCCCCGAGCCGCUGCGCGCGCCGGGGACGGACGCCGACGCAGAGGUCUGCGGCGUGCGCGCCAGCUGGAGCUACACCGCGUUCUUGAGCCGUGAGUGCCUGGGUCCAAUCCCUCCCGGCCCCGCCCCCACUUGUCCCCGCCUCCUGCUCAGCUGGCUCCGGGCUUCUGCAGGUGCAGGCCAGGUGCAUCUGUCCGGCUCGGCCCGUGGCACGGCGGAGGGCUGCCGAGACGCGUGGGCCUCAGAGACGCUCCUCGUGGUGCUGCGCGACGGCCGGGGACCUGGGCCUGGAGCUGAGCUGCAAGCCUGGGCGCCCGGCUCGGCGCUGUGCGGGGAGCCCCUCUGGGUGCAGACUGUGGUGCCGGAGGCCCAGCGGGAAGACGGAGCGGGCGACGGUACCCGGGCCGAGCGGCUGCCCCUGCUGCCCGGCGCCUGCGCCUACGUGAGCCCGCUGCCGCCCUUCUACCGGCCUCUGGCUCCGGAGCUGCGGGCACGUCGGCUGGAGCUCGGCACCGAGCACGCGUUGCUGCUGGACGAGGCCGGCCAGGUGUACUCCUGGGGCGGGGGCAGGCAUGGACAGCUGGGCCACGGGACUCUGGAGGCAGAGCCGGAGCCCCGGCUGUUGGAGGCGCUGCAGGGGCUGCCCAUGGCUGAGGUGGCCGCUGGUGGCUGGCACUCCGUGUGUGUGAGCGAGACUGGGGACAUUUAUAUCUGGGGCUGGAAUGAGUCAGGGCAGCUGGCCCUGCCCACCAGGAGCCUGGCAGAGGACAGAGAGACAGUCACGGGGGAAACCACAGGACUGAGCGAAUGUGGUCCUGAAGUGACGGGAACAGCCGGGCCUGAGGGCGGAGCCCCUGCCCCCUUCAUAGCAGUGCAGCCCUUCCCAGCGUUACUGGACCUCCCCCUGGGCUCAGACGCGGUCAAGGCCAGCUGUGGGUCCCGGCACACAGCCGUGGUGACGAGAGCCGGGGAGCUGUACACCUGGGGCUGGGGUAAAUAUGGACAGCUGGGCCAUGGGGACACGAGCAGCUGGGACCGGCCCUGCCGGGUGGAAUACUUUGUAGAUAAGCAACUCCAGGCCACGGCUGUGAGCUGCGGGCCCUGGAACACCUACGUGUAUGCAGUGCAGAGAGAGAAGAGCUGACGUCUACAGACAGAGGCGUGAAAUGAGUGUGCAGUACAAAUUGAUAAAGACCAAAGCAAAACCUUACUCAGGAAAAUCUGAAGACAACACACUUUAAUUUUUUCAUCACUUCUGAUGUGAAAAGAAAACACUUAAUGAUUUGCAGAACACCCGUCUUGAAUAUCACCUGCAAAAUACUUGAAAAACUGAACACAUUUAGCACAGACUGCCCACCAGUCUCCUUACGUGAGCACCCGCCUGUCUGGUGACCCAGCGGCAGGGCCAGAGCCCCGUGCAAGGCCCUGCUCGGCAGCAGCUGAAGCCCUGGCUUUGGACUGAGCCGAGGGGCCAGCCCCUCUCUUCCACUGCCCAGUCCCAUCCCAGGGCUUCCCCACGACACUAGUGGGGCUCGGCGUGACCAUUUCAUCUUUCUGUUGUUGCAUUUUUUAGAUGAACCAGCUUUCAUCUGUCAUCUCUCAGCAUCUCAGUGGUAACUGAACCCAGGGGUCUCAGAAACCGUAAGAAGCAGGGGCAGGGCCCUGGAUAAAGAGGCUGGGGCAGUACUGGGGAAAAGCCUGUGCGCAGAGCCUGCUGACCUUGCUGCCAGAAGGUGGAAGUCGAGACACCGGAGAGUGGUAGACUGUGCCCCCAAAGGCAGGCCGGAUGCUGCUGUUGGCCGUGGCAUUGGACAUGACGGUGGUGUUCAGCUGAGGAGGAGAACAGAUCACUCACUGAGGAGACACACCCAGCAGCCUGGCCCCGCACACCAAGAAAUGGUGUGGAGAGCAGCCCAUAGAAGACGUGUCUAUGUGAAAAGGUGUGAGGAGACCGUCAGAAGGCCCCAAAGCCUAUUUACGUCCAGCACACGGACCUACAGAACAGCCCUACUGUUCUGCCUCUAGCGCUGGAGAUUUACCCAGCCCAGGAGCCACCAAAGCUCUCCCAGGAGGCGCAACCGCACGGCUGCACAGAAAGACAUAUGUAUGUACACACACAUGUACAGCAGCUCCGUCUGUAACAGCCCCACACCAGAGCCAAGCUACAAUAAUAUUACUGGGCAAAUGGAUCGGCAAACCGUGAUGUCAUACAAUGCAAUACUGCUCAGUAACAAAGUAGUGACCUACCGAUACAUGGAACGACAUAUAUGAACCACUCAAGAAUUGUGCUAUGUGAAAAAAGCCAUACUGUAAGAGUCUAUGUAUAAAAAAUGUUAGAAACUGCCAAUUAAUAGUGAUAGUCUACACUUGCCAGGAGCUGGGGGAGGGGCACUGUGGCCGUGGGUGGCUCACAGUCUGCACCGUGGUGGCAGCAUUAAGGUGCACAUGUGUGAAAUGUGUUGUGUGCCCUUUACAUGGGUGUCAGUAAAAUGUAAACAUUUUUUUACACUGAGAACUCUAGGUGGAUUAAAAACUUUACAUGGGGUGGCAAGACUAUUCAAAUAUAAGACAGAGGCUAGGAAAUCCAACACAGGAAGAAUAUCUGUGAGGCUUCAGGCCACAGAGGGACCACCUACAAAGUACAAGAAGUACAGGCCAGGAAGAAGGCAGACUGGAAGCACUUUCCCCGUGUUAAGAGUGAAGAGCUUCCUGUCCACCACCAAAGCACCGUGAAGAGUAAGAAGGCGGCUGCACCGGACACCCAGGCUGUUGGGAAAACACCCAGAACGUUAAGAGUUUCUAUAAACUUCGUAAGAAAGAUGCAGAUGCUCGCUUCACUAGUGACUAGAGAAACGCAAACUGAAACCAUGAGACGCUACUUUGGACCGAGCGGAGGAGCGGAGGUGCAGGCGUGUGGAAGUUCCGCACGUCAGGCACCGCCCCCAGAAGCGCAGACUGGCGUCUCAGGUGUGGCUGCGGGCCAGGCUCCCACUGGGCGCCCGUGAGGCAACCGACAGAUGUGUCUCUCACACAUCAGUGUUUCUUUUCCUUUCUCCCUCCCUCCCCCUCUCUGAAAAUAAAUAAAUAGAACGUUUUGGGGUUUUUUUGUUUUAAAUUGAAUCCAUACACUUAAAAAAACAAGAAAACACCCAACAUUCUCAA